UACGUAGGUGGCAAGCGUUGUCCGGAUUUAUUGGGUUUAAAGGGUGCGUAGGCGGCUUGAUAAGUCAGUGGUGAAAGCCGAUCGCUUAACGAUCGAAUUGCCAUUGAUACUGCCAGGCUUGAGUACAGUUGAGGUAGGCGGAAUUGACAGUGUAGCGGUGAAAUGCAUAGAUAUGUCACAGAACACCGAUUGCGAAGGCAGCUUACUAAAGUGUGAUUGACGCUGAGGCACGAAAGCGUGGGGAUCAAACAGG
rnacentral:rRNA from 1 species